rnacentral:rRNA from 1 species
GGGGAAUAUUGGACAAUGGGCGCAAGCCUGAUCCAGCCAUACCGCGUGGGUGAAGAAGGCCUUCGGGUUGUAAAGCCCUUUUGUUGGGAAAGAAAUCCUGUCGAUUAAUACUCGGCGGGGAUGACGGUACCCAAAGAAUAAGCACCGGCUAACUUCGUGCCAGCAGCCGCGGUAAUACGAAGGGUGCAAGCGUUACUCGGAAUUACUGGGCGUAAAGCGUGCGUAGGUGGUGGUUUAAGUCUGCUGUGAAAGCCCUGGGCUCAACCUGGGAAUUGCAGUGGAUACUGGGUCACUAGAGUGUGGUAGAGGGAUGCGGAAUUUCUGGUGUAGCAGUGAAAUGCGUAGAGAUCAGAAGGAACAUCCGUGGCGAAGGCGGCAUCCUGGGCCAACACUGACACUGAGGCACGAAAGCGUGGGGAGCAAAC